rnacentral:rRNA from 1 species
AGGACGAACGCUGGCGGCGUGCUUAACACAUGCAAGUGGAGCGACGAACCAGGCUUCGGCCUGGGGCAAAGCCGCGAACGGGUGAGUAACACGUGGGUAACCUGCCCCGACGAUCGGGACAACCCGGGGAAACUCGGGCUAAUACCGAAUAUGCUCGUCUCACACCAGUGGGACGCGUAAAGGAGCUUCGGCCUCCGCAUCGGGGAUGGGCCCGCGGCCCAUUAGCUUGUUGGUGAGGUAACGGCUCACCGAAGGCUUCGGACUCGGUA